GAUGAACGCUGGCGGCGUGCCUAAUACAUGCAAGUCGAGCGAACAGACGAGGAGCUUGCUCCUCUGACGUUAGCGGCGGACGGGUGAGUAACACGUGGAUAACCUACCUAUAAGACUGGGAUAACUUCGGGAAACCGGAGCUAAUACCGGAUAAUAUAUUGAACCGCAUGGUUCAAUAGUGAAAGACGGUUUUGCUGUCACUUAUAGAUGGAUCCGCGCCGCAUUAGCUAGUUGGUAAGGUAACGGCUUACCAAGGCAACGAUGCGUAGCCGACCUGAGAGGGUGAUCGGCCACGCUGGAACUGAGACACGGUCCAGACUCCUACGGGAGGCAGAAGGAGGGAAUCUUCCGCAAUGGGCGAAAGCCUGACGGAGCAACGCCGCGUGAGUGAUGAAGGUCUUCGGAUCGUAAAACUCUGUUAUUAGGGAAGAACAAAUGUGUAAGUAACUAUGCACGUCUUGACGGUACCUAAUCAGAAAGCCACGGCUAACUACGUG
rnacentral:rRNA from 1 species